UACGGAGGGUGCAAGCGUUGUUCGGAAUCACUGGGCGUAAAGCGCGUGUAGGCGGCUUCGUAAGUCUGGUGUGAAAGCCCGGGGCUCACCCCCGGAAGUGCACUGGAAACUGCAAGGCUCGAGUACCGGAGAGGAGGGUGGAAUUCCUGGUGUAGCGGUGAAAUGCGUAGAUAUCAGGAGGAACACCGGUGGCGAAGGCGGCCCUCUGGACGGAUACUGACGCUGAGACGCGAAAGCGUGGGGAGCAAACAGG
rnacentral:rRNA from 1 species